rnacentral:lncRNA from 1 species
AGAAGUCGAUAAGACCAGGAGAAGUGAAGAUGUAACAUGUUAUCUGUCGCUCCUCUUAGCUGGCGGAGAGAAUUUACAUUUAAAGAUUAGCAGAGUGAGAAAGAGAAAUCUGCCUUUUGUUGUGUGGGGUGAGGAGGAGGCAUCUACCCCUGGCCUUGACGCUAUCUCCCAUCACCUCUGCUAUCCAGACAGGACUCACCGAGAAAAGAUUGAUCUCUGGGCUGGUGAACAUAAUCUCUGUCCCAGUCAGAAAAGGAGAGAGGAAAUUAGCAGAGCGAUUGGUGGAGAAUGAUAUCUGUCAAAAGAAACACUUGGAGAGCACUGAGUUUAGUAAUAGGUGACUGCCGGAAAAAAGGGAACUUUGAAUAUUGUCAAGGAGGCAUGAGCCCGGAACGCGCUUGCUUUUAGGAGACAGCCACUUUCUGUGUGGUACGCUGGAUUCAAGGAUGCCUGAUCGUACUGAGAAGCACUCCACAAUGCCAGACUCACCUGUGGAUGUGAAGACGCAAUCUAGGCUGACUCCUCCAACAAUGCCACCUCCCCCAACUACUCAAGGAGCUCCAAGAACC